UACGAAGGGGGCUAGCGUUGCUCGGAAUCACUGGGCGGAAAGGGUGCGUAGGCGGGUCUUUAAGUCAGGGGUGAAAUCCUGGAGCUCAACUCCAGAACUGCCUUUGAUACUGAGGAUCUUGAGGUCGGGAGAGGUGAGUGGAACUGCGAGUGUAGAGGUGAAAUUCGUAGAUAUUCGCAAGAACACCAGUGGCGAAGGCGGCUCACUGGCCCGAUACUGACGCUGAGGUGCGAAAGCGUGGGGAGCAAACAGG
rnacentral:rRNA from 1 species